CCAGCUGUAUUAUUUAUUUAUCUUUUUAAUUUACAGAUUUGGUUUAUAAACUUUUGUUAUUUUCACAAUUGACCACAUUGCAUUAAUGACUCUCAAUCUUUUCAAGAAAAUUGUUAGUGUCACUUUUUUUUUUUUUUCACAAAAAAAAAAAUUGUUUCUAUCACCUAGAGAACAGAGAACACGCUUCAUCUUCUUUCUCAGGUUUUUCUUUGUUUCCUAUUCUUCUUCUCCAUACCCAUUUUCUUGCUUCGUACAAGUUGAAUUUCACUUCAUCAUCUUACGAAUCAAACUUGAAUCAAACUUGUGUUCAUCGAAUUAGCAUCCUACACAAAUCAACCAAUCUUUCUAUCUCUACCACAACAUUUACAAUUUAAGAGCAUGUUGAAGGACGUAGAGCGUUCAGCAAAACAUCAGAAUUAAGGACAGUUUACGACCUUUUAUGUUUGUGUAUCAGGAAUGUUGGGUGGUUUUGUGUAUCAGGAAUGUUUACGACAUUUUAUGCUUCUGCUGCUUCUUCUGUACCAAAAGGAGUGUUGGCUGAUUUUUUGUACCAAAAGGCAUUAUAAUGCUUAAUUAAGUUGUAGCAAAUAAUGACUUAUACAUGUUUUAUGUGGUUAAGUUUGAAUUCUAAGCUCUCUUAUUGUAACUUUUCAAAUAUUAUCUCGGAAAGAGGAUUAAGUAAAAUCUGCAUAAUUUGAAUGGUAUAGUGCAGAGCUAAACUUGCCUAGUGCGUGAUAUGAUAAAAUAUAUAGACAGACACUGAUGGAAUUUCAUAAUUUCAUAGAGUUCAUGGAAGGUGAAUACCAUGUUCUAGAUGUUAGUUAAAGGACUGACUACAUGUAAAUUUCUAAAUUCUAAUUCAGUACAGAAAAUUAUUCUUAAGUAAUGACUUUGGAUGGUAUAAGGAUAUGAGCAUUUUAGCGUGAAAUUGUAUCUAAUGCAAACAUAUACAGGAUUAGUUUGA